rnacentral:SRP_RNA from 10 species
AAAUAUUUCAGUCACAGGUGCCAUGAAUACUACUGACAUUUUUUACCUAAAUUAAUAGUUUAAGAAAACACUAUGGUACAGUUAGACAUUUGUAUAAAGAUGUAGCUGGGCAUGGUGGCAUGUGCCUGUAGUCCCAGUUACUUGGGAGGCUGAAGCAGGAGGAACCCUUGAGCCCAAAAGUUCUGGGCUGUAGUGAGCUAUGCCAGUUGAGUGUCUGCACUAAGUUCAGCAUCAGUAUGGUAACCUCCUGUUAGCGGGGCCUACGGGGCUGGCAAAGGAGGGGUGAAUGGACCCAGGUCGGAAGCAGAGCAGGUCAUAACUCCGGUGCUGAUCAGUAGUUGGAUCGCCUGUGAAUAGCCACUGCACUCCAGCCUGGGCAACAUAGCAAGACC